UCUUACGGACGAGCAAAGAAAGUGGUUUCCUUAGGUGAAAACUACUUCUGGUGAAGAUGCUAUAAA
rnacentral:pre_miRNA from 1 species